AUGACCUGCAGCUCAUUGACUGUUGAGUUCCCUCGAGUCUCUCUUUCUUCCGGCAAGAUUCUACAUCAAGGCUUGUGGCUUACCUUAUGGAUCUUAAUUAAGUCACCCCUUGUAAUUUCCUAAGGUGCUACCUCAUCAUUCUUAGGUGGCUCCUUUUUUUCCAUUUUGUGGCAGUUGAUAGUUGUGUGGUACAUGGAUGGGUGAGCUACUUAUUUAGCCUAUCAAAGAAUUAUCUCACUAGAUGUACGUAGGGAAAGAGAGCUCUUAUAUUGACACUCCUAGCACUUGAUAUAGCGUAAGCUUUUUUUCAAGUUGUUUAUAAUCUUGUGCUAGAAAAUAACAAUCAUAGAUUGCUAGGCAUUUGCCAUAUUGCCAUGCUAACUGAAAAUUGAUGUAAUCUCUGGUCUAAAAUGUCGUAGCUUGUUCUUUUGUACUUUCAUACACUCGUACUGACUACACAUAAUGUCAAAUGAUGCGAGUGUCGGUAUAUAUCAUCUAUGGAGGUGCUUGUGCUAUUGGAAUUUCACCAGUUGCUCCAGAGCACAAAAACACAAUAACAGUUGGGAGGGUUGCUUUGUAUCCCUAGACCCACACCCACACCCGACCACCAUCUCCCAUUUUCCUCAGUAUCACGACCUGAUGCGACGUUGGCAGCGCAAUCAGUCGGAGGAGGCCAGCGGUGGCGAUGACGGCAAUGCGAUGGGGAAAGGUUGCUCGUCGUCGCGGCACCAGCAAUUCCACGAUCGCAUAAUACCCGCAUGUUGAUGACCUCCAGGACUCUCCGGCCUCCUCCCUCCAGGCGUACUAUUGUUCAAGAUAGUGUGUGUGACAUAUGUGGGAACGGGGAGGAAGAUGAAUAUCAUGUUGUUAUAUCAUGCACAAAAAGUAAGGCGUUGAGAUUUGCCAUGAGGAAAGAGUGGAGGCUUCCAGAAGAAAAGGAGUUCUGGUACACUGGAACAGACUGGCUACAAAUCCUACUGGACAAGUAUGAUUCAGAGAUAAGAAAGAAAAAUCUGCUGUUGUUAUGGAGAGCCUGGUUUCUAUGAGAUAACUGUAUCCACAGUGAUGGCAAAGAAACCAUUUCGAGAUCGGUGAUGUUCCUUGUGCAGUAUGAGGAGGAAAUCAGGAAUUUGUCACUAUCUGUUG